rnacentral:lncRNA from 1 species
UUUUUCUUUCCUGUCUUCACUUAUAUUUAUUAUUUUUUGGCAUUCAAUCUCUUUUUGCUUUUUGGUUAUACCUGUUUUCAUUGGUAACCCUUAGGAUUUAUAAUACAUCAUUCUUAUAUUGAACCAGUCUAUAUUUAUUAUACCACUUCAUCAAUAAGGAUCUUACAACAGUAAAAUUUCAUUUACCGCCCCCCUUCCAAUCUUUUGCAUUAUUGUCAUGUGUUUCACUUUUACAGCUUAUAAACCAACCAAACACUUUUUUGCGGGGAGAGGAUUCCAAGGCAUGUGGAAGUUCCUGGAGUAGGGAUCAAAUGUGCACCAAAGCAGUGACCCAAGCUACAGCAGUGAUAAUGCUGGGUAUUUAACUGCAAGGACACCAGGGAACUCCUAAAUACUUUUUGCUUUAAACAAAUUAAAGAAAUUAAAACUUUCAAAACUAUUUUAUAUUUAUCUAAUGUUACCAUUUCCAACAUGCUUCAGUCUUUCCAUACUUUUACUUUCUCAAAGACCAACAAAUGUAAGUAAAUUGUGAUUUUUAUAAUUAAAACAAAAUUUUUAGGGCCACACCUGUGGCAUGUGGAAGUUCCCAGGCUAGGAGCUGAAUUGGAGCCACAGCUGCCAGCCACAGCCACAGCAAUGGGGGAUCCAAGCUGUGUCCAAGACCUACACCAAAGUUCACAGCAACGGCGGAUCCUUAACCCACUGACUGAGGCCAGGGAUCGAAACUGCAUCCUCAUGGAUGCAAGUCAGGUUUGUCACCACUGAGCCAUGACUGGAACUCCUUUAUAAUAUUUUAAUAUUUCUAAUAUUUUUAGUUUCUUGGUAGUAAAAAUGGACAAUUGUGGACUCACAAUGCUGGCAUAAGAGAGAGUGAGAAUAGUUCUUUUGUGACAUCACAAGUUAGGGAUCUGGCAUUAUCACUGCAGAGGCAGAGGUUGUUCCUGUGGCACAAGCUCAAUCCCUGGCCCCAGAACUUCCACAUACCCCAGGUGUGGCCAAAAAAAAAAAGAAUAAUGGAAUGAAUUGGCCUCGACAAAGUGCCAACGCAAAGUGCAUAAUGCAAAAUCUUUUAUAACAACUUUAAUAUAAAAAUAUUUACAGAAAUUAUGGCAUGUACUUUUUAGUGUCUAAUGCCUGAGAAUACACACAAUUAAAUUGAAUUUAAAGACCCCUUGGACUAGACAAAGUACACCAGAGGUACAACUUGAGGUAGUACUACCCUGCAAGGGCAUUUUAAAAUAUGUCUGCAAUUUAGAUUGUCACACUGGGUAGGCAGUAUUUCAUUUCCUGGGGUAAAAUACACAGAACUGAGAUCCAAUGCAGGAUUGUCUUACCUCAAAAUGCUCAUAGCACCCAGAUGAGAGACAGUAAAAAUAUCUGGCUCUACUUUGGGGCAUUAUUUAUUUUGACUUUUUUGAGAGAAUAUGAAACAUUCCAUUCAUAUCUAACUUUAACAGAAUACCUGAUUUUUCACCUCAUUUCUAAUCCAACUGUCUCCCACUAUGAUAAAUUACACCAUCAUCCAAUGAGACAUUUUUCUUCCCCUCCCCAUCAACAUGCAAUUCAUCAUUACAUGAGUUGACCCCACCUUUAAAAUAUCUCUCUUUAAUCAGUGUCACACUAGUUCAAACCAACAUUACCUCAGUCUAGACAGCAACCUACUAACUCCCUGGGAACCAUUCUGCACACAGCAGUCAGAGUCAUUGCUUAAAAGCAAAACUCAAAAAAUUUUACUUCUGUUUUUAAAAUCUUCAAAGUUAUCUAGUUACACUUAGAAAUUCAGAUUCUUUUGCUACCUCACAAAAUCAUAUGUGAUGUGUCUCCUGCCUGCCUCUCACCUCAUGGUUCUCUGCUCCUCACCCACUGUGCUGCCACCUCUCUGCCUUCCCUUUUCUCAAACUUGCUUCAGGGACUUUAAACUAAUGUUUCCUCUGCAUAGAAGAUCCUUUUCUGCUAGAUUUUCAUGUAGCUGGCUCGUUUUCUUUAGGACCUCUCACCCUGCUGAGCCAAUUCAGCAUCUUCAGAAGUAGAAGUAGUUGGUUACAUUAAAAAUGAGUAAACUGGGAGUUCUUGUUGUGGCUCAACAUGUUAAGAACCUGCCAUAGUGUCCCUGAGAAUGUGGGGUCAAUCCCUGGCCUCACUCAUCGGAUUCAUUAACCACUGCGCUACCACAGGAACUCGUUUUUUCACUUCUUUAAUUAAAAAAUUUUUAAAAUAAGUAAACUAAAAAUCUUACAUAUGCUAAAGUUGGUGAACCAGUGAGCUAAACUUUUCUCUGUGUCUGUUACUGAUUUGUUAAUGAAUGUGGAAAUAAAAAGCAUUUGAGUAUCCAAUCCAAUAACUUUUUUUCUUUUUUUUGCUUUUUAGCGCAGCACUUGCAGCAUAUGGAAGUUCCCAGGCUAGGGGCAGAAUUGGAGCUGCAGGUGCCAGCCUAUACCACAGCCACAGCAAUGCAGGAUCCAAGCCAUGUCUGCAAUCUACACCAUAGCUCACAGACACGCUGGAUCCUUAACCUACUGAGCAAGACCAGGGAUCGUACCGCAUCCUCAUGGAUACUAGUCUGGAUUCGUUUCCAUUGCACCACAAGGGGAACUCCAAAUCCAAUAAUUGUUGUUUCCCUUAGAAAAUUUUCACAUUCAGUGCAUGUUGUAGUUAGAAAAUGCCAUACUACUGCAACAAACACCCAACAACAAUAAAGAGGCUUAAGGAGAAGAGGUGUAACAUUCUAUGACUACAUUCUGUGGAGAGUUCCAGUAGGAAUUAUAUAACAUGACAAAGUGGGAGUUGUUUCUGGAAGAAUGGUUCAACAUACGAAAAUCACUCUAAUAUACCACAUUAACAGAAUGAAGGACAAAAACUAAAUGAUCAUCCUAAUUCAUGCAGAAAAACAUUUGGUAAGACUCAAUACCAUUUCCUCAUUCUCCCCACCUGCCAAUCAUCAAACUAGGAAUAGAAGGAAACUACCUCAGCAUAAUAAAGGCCAUAUAUGAAAAGCCCAAAGCUAACAUUAUACUCAGCGUUAAAAGAUGCCAAGCUUUUCCUCUAAGAUCAGGAAUAAAGCAGGAUGCCCAUUCUUGCCACUUCUACUCAACAUGGCGUUUGAAGUCCUAGGCAGAGCAAUUAGCAAGGAAAAACAAAAACCAUCUAAACUGGAAAGAAAGAAAAUUAUGUUUGCAAAUAUCUUUCAUGAUGAAAACCCUAAAGACUCUACACACACACACACACCUAAACCAAAACCUCUACUUCUAAAAAAAAGCAAAAGAAAAGGCAGAAGUUCCCAUUGUGGCUUAGCAGUAACAAACCCGACUGGCAUCCAUGAGGAGGAGGGUUUCAAUCCCUGGCCUUACUCAGUGGGCUAAAGGAUCUGGUGUUGCUGUUAAGUCGAGGUGUAGAGCACAGACAUGGCUCGGAUCAUGCAUGGCUGUGGCUGUGGCUGUGGCUGCAGCUCCGAUUGGACCCCUAGCCUGGGAGCUUCCCCAUGUCACAGGAGCAGCCCUAAAAAAAAAAAAAAAAAAAAAAAAAAAAAA